UACGUAGGGUGCAAGCGUUGUCCGGAAUUAUUGGGCGUAAAGGGCUCGUAGGUGGCCAACUAAGUCAGACGUGAAAUCCCUCGGCUUAACCGGGGAACUGCGUCCGAUACGGGCAGGCUAGAGUUCGGUGAGGGAGACUGGAAUUCCUGGUGUAGCGGUGAAAUGCGCAGAUAUCAGGAGGAACACCGGUGGCGAAGGCGGGUCUCUGGGCCGAUACUGACGCUGAGGAGCGAAAGCGUGGGGAGCGAACAGG
rnacentral:rRNA from 1 species